GGCUGGAAUGACAGGAAGAAAUUGAGAAGUUGGAGGCAGAUGAUCAGAAGACAGAGGAUGAAAGAAUGGCACAAGGGAAGAAAGAGAGGAACCCCAGGGCAACGUGAUUGACUGAGGCUGCCCAGAGAACAGGGCCAGGGUCUGAGCCUGAAGAUCUAACUCAGGAGCCCACCUUUUCCACCAUGAUGUCAUCUCUGAGAAAGGGGCCAGAAAAUAUCAUCGGUGUUUUUUUGAGCUUAAUUAUUAAACUGUUAG